rnacentral:misc_RNA from 1 species
AAUCCCCUCAGGUUUGGAUUAUUCCACUCCCUGGUGUUGAGUUCGGAGCAUGAGUGCACUGUUCCUGCUCGAAAUAGAACGGCGCAACGGAUUGUCAAUUCUGUGUAAUAAGCCUUCCACUUCACAAAUUGAUCUAUCCGUCUUGCGGAUCCGACACAUACACUCCUCGUAC